CAUCGUGAGAUGGAAUCUGAAGGAAGCUGGAUGUGAGGAACAUACUAACUCACGGGCAAAUCUCUGGUCUGACGAACAGAAAUCUCAUAUGAGGUCAUGCAUGAGGGUAAGAUUGCAGCUCAAAUUGAAACCCAAUAACUACACGGAAUGGAAUGUAGAAU
rnacentral:ncRNA from 1 species